rnacentral:rRNA from 1 species
GACGAACGCUGGCGGCGUGCCUAAUACAUGCAAGUCGAACGCAGUGGGGACGGGUGAGUAACACGUGGGUAACCUCCCAUCAGAGGGGAUAACACUUGGAAACAGGUGCUAAACCGAUACUGAUGGAUGGACCCGCUGUGCAUUAGCCAGUCGGUGAGGUAACGGCUCACCAAGGCAACGAUGCAUAGCCGAGCUGAGAGGGUGAGCGGCCACACUGGGACUGAGACACGGCCCAGACUCCUACGGGAGGCAGCAGUAGGGAAUCUUCGGCAAUGGACGAAAGUCUGACCGAGCAACGCCGCGUGAAUGAAGAAGGUUUUCGGAUCGUAAAGCUCUGUUGUUAGAGAAGCGGUAUCUAACCAGAAAGCAACGGCUAACUACGUGCCAGCAGCCGCGGUAAUUC